CGGCGUGCCUAAUACAUGCAAGUCGAACGCACUGACGUCGACAGAAGGUGCUUGCACUGGAAGUUGAUUGACGUGAGUGGCGGACGGGUGAGUAACACGUGGGUAACCUGCCCUUAAGCGGGGGAUAACAUUUGGAAACAGAUGCUAAUACCGCAUAAAAGUUGAGAUCACAUGGUCUUAAUUUGAAAGACGGCCUUUGGCUGUCACUUAAGGAUGGACCCGCGGCGUAUUAGCUAGUUGGUGAGAUAAUAGCCCACCAAGGCGAUGAUACGUAGCCGACCUGAGAGGGUAAUCGGCCACAUUGGGACUGAGACACGGCCCAAACUCCUACGGGAGGCAGCAGUAGGGAAUCUUCCACAAUGGACGAAAGUCUGAUGGAGCAACGCCGCGUGAGUGAAGAAGGUUUUCGGAUCGUAAAACUCUGUUGUUGGAGAAGAACAGGGACUAGAGUAACUGUUAGUCCUUUGACGGUAUCCAACCAGAAAGCCACGGCUAACUACGUGCCAGCAGCCGCGGUAAUACGUAGGUGGCAAGCGUUGUCCGGAUUUAUUGGGCGUAAAGCGAGCGCAGGCGGUUUCUUAAGUCUGAUGUGAAAGCCUUCGGCUUAACCGAAGAAGUGCAUCAGAUACUGGGAAACUUGAGUGCAGAAGAGGAAAGUGGAACUCCAUGUGUAGCGGUGAAAUGCGUAGAUAUAUGGAAGAACACCAGUGGCGAAGGCGGCUUUCUGGUCUGUAACUGACGCUGAGGCUCGAAAGUAUGGGGAGCGAACAGGAUUAGAUACCCUGGUAGUCCAUACCGUAAACGAUGAAUGCUAAGUGUUGGAGGGUUUCCGCCCUUCAGUGCUGCAGCUAACGCAUUAAGCAUUCCGCCUGGGGAGUACGACCGCAAGGUUGAAACUCAAAGGAAUUGACGGGGGCCCGCACAAGCGGUGGAGCAUGUGGUUUAAUUCGAAGCUACGCGAAGAACCUUACCAGGUCUUGACAUCUAGCGCCAAUCCUAGAGAUAGGACGUUCCCUUCGGGGACGCUAAGACAGGUGGUGCAUGGUUGUCGUCAGCUCGUGUCGUGAGAUGUUGGGUUAAGUCCCGCAACGAGCGCAACCCUUAUGAUUAGUUGCCAGCAUUUAGUUGGGCACUCUAAUCAGACUGCCGGUGACAAACCGGAGGAAGGUGGGG
rnacentral:rRNA from 1 species